rnacentral:rRNA from 1 species
CAGUCGCCGCGGUAAUACGUAGGUGGCAAGCGUUGUCCGGAAUUAUUGGGCGUAAAGGGCUCGCAGGCGGUUUCUUAAGUCUGAUGUGAAAGCCCCCGGCUCAACCGGGGAGGGUCAUUGGAAACUGGGAAACUUGAGUGCAGAAGAGGAGAGUGGAAUUCCACGUGUAGCGGUGAAAUGCGUAGAGAUGUGGAGGAACACCAGUGGCGAAGGCGACUCUCUGGUCUGUAACUGACGCUGAGGAGCGAAAGCGCGGGGAGCGAACAGGAUUAGAUACCCCAGUAGUCCCUGUCUCUUAUAC